rnacentral:rRNA from 2 species
CUAUAAUGCAGUCGAGCGGACAGAUGGGAGCUUGCUCCCUGAUGUUAGCGGCGGACGGGUGAGUAACACGUGGGUAACCUGCCUGUAAGACUGGGAUAACUCCGGGAAACCGGGGCUAAUACCGGAUGGUUGUUUGAACCGCAUGGUUCAAACAUAAAAGGUGGCUUCGGCUACCACUUACAGAUGGACCCGCGGCGCAUUAGCUAGUUGGUGAGGUAACGGCUCACCAAGGCAACGAUGCGUAGCCGACCUGAGAGGGUGAUCGGCCACACUGGGACUGAGACACGGCCCAGACUCCUACGGGAGGCAGCAGUAGGGAAUCUUCCGCAAUGGACGAAAGUCUGACGGAGCAACGCCGCGUGAGUGAUGAAGGUUUUCGGAUCGUAAAGCUCUGUUGUUAGGGAAGAACAAGUACCGUUCGAAUAGGGCGGUACCUUGACGGUACCUAACCAGAAAGCCACGGCUAACUACGUGCCAGCAGCCGCGGUAAUACGUAGGUGGCAAGCGUUGUCCGGAAUUAUUGGGCGUAAAGGGCUCGCAGGCGGUUUCUUAAGUCUGAUGUGAAAGCCCCCGGCUCAACCGGGGAGGGUCAUUGGAAACUGGGGAACUUGAGUGCAGAAGAGGAGAGUGGAAUUCCACGUGUAGCGGUGAAAUGCGUAGAGAUGUGGAGGAACACCAGUGGCGAAGGCGACUCUCUGGUCUGUAACUGACGCUGAGGAGCGAAAGCGUGGGGAGCGAACAGGAUUAGAUACCCUGGUAGUCCACGCCGUAAACGAUGAGUGCUAAGUGUUA